AAUCAUACUAGGAAAAUUUUUUUGUUGCUUAUUUUUUAACAUACAGCACUGUCUGGAAGAUUAAGGCAAAUUGUUGAAAUUUAUAUCCAUGAAUUGUGUUGAAAUUUAAAAAAAUGCCUAAAAAAUAUGAGUAAAGGAAGCCAUCAUUUAAAAUCCAUUUACCAAAAUUGUCAUCCAUUUACCUUGUGUUAAGUUUCCACUUAAUCCUGCUUGCCUGAAUUGGUGUGCAGUGAAACAUUCUGAUGGUGUGUGUAUGAUAAGCUAGUGCUUGCCUGUUAACAUAUACCAUCUAAAGCCAUAUCUUGAGCUUCAGUCUAAUCUUAUUCAUAUAACAAGGUUUCUCAUCAGCUGUCAAAUUUAUGAUAAAGAAAGUGUUGAUUAAAGGCACACCCAAAAUCAGCUGGCUAGUAUUAGCAAUCCUGGUGACAUGUAUUUUGAAAUGCAAUGUAUUUAAGAGUGUGGAAGAGUUUGAAAUUGGGUUUUUAGAACAUCAUGGUUUGGACAGGAAUGGUAAUGAUCAGCACAAUUGUAUUUACAGGAAAUAUGAUCUUAGCACCUAGUGCUCCUGGCAGAUCUUGAUGGUGUUCUAAGAAUAAACUUUUUCUUAGUCUCCAUUGCAAUACUUUUUUGUAAUUCAACUUCUUAAUUCCAGAUUCCAAGAAAGUCUAAAUUGGCCGUUCACAGAAAUAUCCGAGAUGAUGAAGGCUUCAUUAUCCGACACUUUGCAGGAGCAGUGUGCUAUGAGACGAUGCAAUUUGUGGAAAAAAACAAUGAUGCUUUGCACAUGUCUCUUCAAUCUCUUAUAUGUGAAUCCAAGGACAAAUUUGUUCGACAGUUGUUUGAAGCCAACACUAACAACAACAAGGAUCCCAAACAAAAAGCUGGAAAACUCAGUUUCAUCAGUGUGGGUAACAAAUUCAAGGUAAAAUCAUAGAGUAAAGAGUCCUAUCUUGUAAUAUAUGCCAGUUUUAUGUUACUUGAAUUAAAUAGAACCUAAGGUUGGGAGAACUAGCAGUAAUUUGAGAUUCAGAAGAAAAUUUGGUUGAAGAGAUGGUUUUCUUCUGUUGAAUUAUAAGAAACUGGCAUUUUAAGCUACAUGCUAUGCAUUUCUGUCAAAAGUAUCUUCCAUAAUAGUCCUUACAGAGGUUAUACAGUGAUUUUUAGGUCAGAAUCUUUCAAAGUCACUUAGAAGUCUUUAUUCAACAGGUUUUGAGAUGUAAAUUUGGAUUCGGUGGACUUUAAAAUUUUCUAGAUGGGACAGAAUAUGUUCUUCCAUCCUAUUGUAAUUAUACCUUCUAGAAGAUGUAUUGAUUCCCUACAGUUGGCCAAACUUUCAAAAUUCAGUACCUAAUUUAACCAUAGUUUUUCCUUUUCUGAAAUAUAUACUUAGUCAUGGCUUAUACAGGAAGAUAUUCAUUGUGCUGAAUGUUUCCCUUCCCA
rnacentral:lncRNA from 1 species